UUAGCUCAGUUGGUAGAGCAGUUGACUUUUAAUCAAUUGGAUUGGUCGCAGGUUCGAAUCCUGCACGACCCACCA
rnacentral:tRNA from 1 species